UUGACCUCAAAUCAGGUAGGACUACCCGCUGAACUUAAGCAUAUCAAUAAGCGGAGGAAAAGAAACUAACAAGGAUUCCCCUAGUAACUGCGAGUGAAGCGGGAAAAGCUCAAAUUUAAAAUCUGGCGGUUCUUGUAGCCGUCCGAGUUGUAAUUUAGAGAAGUGUUAUCCGCGCUGGACCGUGUACAAGUCUCCUGGAAUGGAGCGUCAUAGAGGGUGAGAAUCCCGUCUUUGACACGGACUGCCAGGGCAUUGUGAUGCGCUCUCAAAGAGUCGAGUUGUUUGGGAAUGCAGCUCAAAUUGGGUGGUAAAUUCCAUCUAAAGCUAAAUAUUGAGGAGAGACCGAUAGCGAACAAGUACCGUGAGGGAAAGAUGAAAAGAACUUUGGAAAGAGAGUUAAACAGUACGUGAAAUUGCUGAAAGGGAAACGCUUGAAGUCAGUCGCGUUGUUCAGGACUCAGCCUUGCUUUGCUUGGUGUACUUCCUGUUCGACGGGUCAGCAUCAAUUUUGGUCGGUGGAUAAAGGCUUGGAGAAUGUGGCAUCUUUGGGUGUGUUAUAGCUCUGGGUCGCAUAC
rnacentral:rRNA from 1 species